UACGUAGGAGGCGAGCGUUGUCCGGAGUUACUGGGCGUAAAGGGUGCGCAGGCGGCCGCGCGCGUGGGUGGUGAAAUCUCCCGGCUCAACUGGGAGGGGGGCCAUCCAGACGGCGUGGCUUGAGGCUCGGAGGGGGGCGUGGAAUUCCGGGUGGAGCGGUGGAAUGCGUAGAUAUCGGGAGGAACACCAGUGGCGAAGGCGGUUGCCUGGAGCUUUGCUGACGCUGAGGCGCGAAAGCGUGGGGAGCGAUCCGG
rnacentral:rRNA from 1 species